CCAAAUCCCUUUCUCCCUCCCUCCCUACCCGAUCCUUACUUUCCUUUCUCCCUUUCUCUCUCGCAUGCUCUCUGCUAGGCCCGAACGAUGACGGAAGGGGCUCAGGGAAUGGUGGUCGAUGGCGGCAGGGGGGUCGGGGUCGAGCUGUUCGGUGGCAGGGGGCUCGGGGCUGUGCUCGACAGCAACGACUGGUGGCUCGUGGCUGGGCUCGACAACAACGACUGAUGGCUCGGGGGGGCUCGACGGCAGGUGGGGGGGGUCUCGGGUCUGGGUUCGACGGCGCAGGGGCUGGGCAGAGGGCUAUUUGGCUUCGGGACUUUGAGAGACACGAGAGCUAUGGCCAUGGAGAGGAUCUAUCUUGGUGGAAAGAUUUGUUUUUUUAGCUCAUGUAUUAUUUAUUUCCAUUUAUUUAGUAAUCUCUUCCUCCUUUCCUAUCCAUAUGGGUUUUGUGUUUGAAGUGUUUUUUGCAUUUGGGUCCACCGGGAAUGAUCCUAGAUUGAUCUUCUCCUUCAAGGUCUCCUCCUUCCCACCGGGAAAGACCUCGCCGCCGACCUAAUUGCUGGCAAAUACAACUAUCGUCAACGCCUCAUCUUCCUCCUCAUUGCUCUUAAGCCUAUCUCCUUCUUCAUUUAGGUUUGUUUUUUGCUUCUUCCAGAUCUGUCUCAUUUUUAUUGUGCAAAUGCCAGCUAUUAUGAUCUCCGACAAUCUUCGAGGCUUCUCAACGAUUCUGUUCUUUGAAGAUAGAAGUAUCUUUUCGACAACUAUAGUAUUUGACAUUCUAGACUACAUUAUAGUUUAGAAGAUACUUCUUUCUAAAUAUUCAUGAUAUUGGUUUUCUUUGUUUUUGAGUUAAAAUUGUUUCAUUUUAAGCUUUAAAAUGACAAGUUGGAAGUUUGAUUCAUGUCUCAGCAUCUUCUGUACUUAUCAAGGACUAGGAAACUGCAGGAUUUAAUACAUGGAAAAAACUCCUGCUAGGUAUUUGAUCAAAUGCCUCUAUGUAAUGUGCUCAUUUGAUGAAGUUACUAUGCUUUACUUUAGUGAUUGGAUCUUGUUGAAUUUGCUAUAAAUAUCUUUUUUUUUUUUGCAAAAGAAAUUUGCUAGGAAAACUAUGAACAAGCUCACUCUCUGUUUCUUUGUCUAUCUUCUGAACUUUGGGCAAAAUAUCAACUAGAGAAUAUAUCUAAAUAUAAUUAUUAGUAGUAGUAAUUAAGUUCUAGUAGCUUCAGUAAUACCGAUUCAUGUCAUUUAUUUUUUUAUUAGUGUUUUGGUGGAAGGAUUAUUAUAUGCAUAUAUCUCUCUUAUCUUUUAGUAUAGUUCUAAUUGACCUACAUACCUUUAUAUAUAUAAAGGUAUGUACGUACAUAUAUAUAUAUAUUUCUUUGGCUUAGUGAUUUUAAAAGUACGGUAUAUAAGUUAUUAUCCUUGCUUGUUUGAAACUCUUUGUAUAUGUUUCUUUAUUAAGAUUUUUUAAAGGAUAUGAUAUUGGGUGCUGGGAGAUGUUAUUCCUUGUAAGUAAUUGCCAGUGAUGGCUGCACUGUUGUCUUGACUACUCAGGCUCAAUAAAGUAAUUAUCAGUAUUUAUUUUCUAUUAUGCUCAAUAAAGUAAUUAUCAGUAUUUGUUUUCUUUUAUUGAUUAAGUAGCAUUUAUUAUUGAGUUCAUGUAUCUCUAAUGAGAUUCAUUGGACCAAUUUUGACUUUUCUGGUCUUCCAUCUUUCCUCUACCUCUCAUAUCUCUCCAUGAACGUAAACCCAUUUCAGCUCAAGAUCUGUUCCAUUUUCAAGUUUGUAUUUUUUUUCUACAUUUUUAUUUCUACUCUCUUUGUCUCUCUCAGCUCCCUCUCUCUCUAUCUCUCACUCAUCUCUUUUUUGCAUUUCUUAACUAUAUCUACUUUUUUUUUUGUAUUAAUUUGUUCUCUCUUUUUCUUAUGUGAAAGGGGAAAGCUUUUGGUGAAAAUAGCUUCUCUCUCAGAUGCUCUAUCUCUCUCAUAUCAGAACCUAGCUUCAUAUUUAUGGCUGCUAAUUUUGAUGGAAUACUUGGACUUGGAUUUUAAGAGAUCUUGGUUGGAAAUGUUGUUCAGGUAAAUCUAUCUAUCUCAACCUCUAAACAUGCUGUAAAACUUCAAUUGAAUCUUCAAUUCAUGUUGUAAAAUGUUUAAUGAGAUUUAUAACCUCCUAAUGAUAAAUUAUUAUAACUUAACUUGUGGAUUUUUCUUAGAUGUUAGGGUAAUGAAUUGCCCUGUUUCUCUCUUUUGUGAAAUGAGAUUUAUAACCAUUUAUUUUGACUUGUCUUUUGUUUUGCAAUAGGAAAGGGAUGACUAAAGUGUGAUAAGUGCUUUUUCUAUAUACGCAUAUUAGGUCAACUUGCACCCAAUAUUUGAUGUCAAAUUAAUGAUAUAAAUUAUUUACUCUUAUUAUAGCUGACAUCCAACAUAUAGUAUUGUAAUUGAUUCUCUUUGCAAAAUGGAGAAAACUUAAAAGAGUUAUAUGAACUGAUGUUAUCGAACAGGGUUCUACCAGAUUCACUUUGAUCAAAGGCUAUAUGAAGGUUGAUAAAACACAAGUGUUAAUACUGGGUUCUUAUCAUAUAGUUUAUGUUCCAUAAUUAGCAUUAUACAAAUUAGGUAAUAAGUGGUUGCAUUACCCAGUUUGAUUGUGUUGUGUGUACCAAGACAUGAGAAAUCAAGUAAUUAAGUAAUUAAGUAGUACUAAUGUCUUAUCACUUAAGCUCCUUCCCACUUGAACCAUAACAUCAUAAUAAAUAAUAAGCCGACAUUAAAGUUUUAACGAAAUUAGAGAUUAAGAGGUGGAUUAUGAUUAAAAGGGUCUCUUAAAAGAUGCUUAAUUAUAAUUGUUGUGUGUAUACUUAUUUAUAAGUUUGAAUUAUAAUAUAUUUAUAAUUAAAGAAUUUUUUUAUAAUGUGCACGUCUAUAUUGAGAUGCAUUUUUUUGGCGCAAUACUAGGCAACAUUGACAAUUGAAGUUUUUAGAAUAAAAAAUAUAUUUCACUAACAUUGUAUACGUUUCUUGUUUAAUUAUUGGUGAUGAUAAAAUUUGAUUGUAGUAUAAACUAUCAUGUAAUAUGAUUUUGUAAGCCGAGUAGACUAAAUACUAAAAUGAUAUUUUUGAGUAAUUAUUAAAAAAUUAUUUUGUUGUA